GCGGUCGUGGUGGAAUGGUAGACACGCAUGCUUGAGGGGCAUGUGGCUGAAUAGUCGUGUGAGUUCAAAUCUCAUCGACCGCACCA
rnacentral:tRNA from 1 species